rnacentral:misc_RNA from 1 species
AAGUCGUAACAAGGUUUCCGUAGGUGAACCUGCGGAAGGAUCAUUACUGAAUAAACUUGGUGGGUUGUAGCUGGCUCCUAGGAGCAUGUGCACACUCAUCAUAUUUAUCCAUCCACCUGUGCACACUCUGUAGUCUUGAGAGGAAUUGGGUUACUAAUGACUCUUGAGUUCUAUGUGACUUUAUAAACUACAUAGCCUGUCGCAGAAUGUUAUUUUAUUGGGCCUCUUGUGCCUAUAAAAACUUUAUACAACUUUCAGCAACGGAUCUCUUGGCUCUC